rnacentral:sRNA from 1 species
CAGUAUGUGAUGAUGACUUACCAGAGCCUGACGAAACUUUUAUUUUUCACUUAACAUUACAGAAACCUUCAGCAAAUGUGAAGCUUGGAUGGCCAAGGACUGUUACUGUGACAAUAUUAUCAAAUGACAAUGCAUUUGGAAUUAUUUCAUUUAAUAUGCUUCCCUCAAUCGCAGUGAGUGAGCCCAAGGACAGAAAUGAGUCUAUGCCUCUUACUCUCAUCAGGGAAAAGGGGACCUAUGGAAUGGUCAUGGUGACUUUUGAGGUAGAGGGUGGCCCAAAUCCCCCUGAUGAAGAUUUGAGUCCAGUUAAAGGAAAUAUCACCUUUCCCCCUGGCAAAGCAACAGUAAUUUAUAACUUGACAGUACUCGAUGACGAGGUACCAGAAAAUGAUGAAAUAUUUUUAAUUCAACUGAAAAGUGUAGAAGGAGGAGCUGAGAUUAACACCUCUAGGAAUUCCAUUGAGAUCAUCAUUAAGAAAAAUGAUAGUCCCGUGAGAUUCCUUCAGAGUAUUUAUUUGGUUCCUGAGGAAGACCACAUACUCAUAAUUCCAGUAGUUCGUGGAAAGGACAACAAUGGAAAUCUGAUUGGAUCUGAUGAAUAUGAGGUUUCAAUCAGUUAUGCUGUCACGACUGGGAAUUCCACAGCACAUGCCCAGCAAAAUCUGGACUUCAUUGAUCUUCAGCCAAACACAACUGUUGUUUUUCCACCUUUUAUUCAUGAAUCUCACUUGAAAUUUCAAAUAGUUGAUGACACCAUACCGGAGAUUGCUGAAUCGUUUCACAUUAUGUUACUAAAAGAUACCUUACAGGGAGAUGCUGUGCUAAUAAGCCCUUCUGUUGUACAAGUCACCAUUAAGCCAAAUGAUAAACCUUAUGGAGUCCUUUCAUUCAACAGUGUUUUGUUUGAAAGGACAGUUAUAAUUGAUGAAGAUAGAAUAUCAAGAUAUGAAGAAAUCACAGUGGUUAGAAAUGGAGGAACCCAUGGGAAUGUCUCUGCGAAUUGGGUGUUGACACGGAACAGCACUGAUCCCUCACCAGUAACAGCAGAUAUCAGACCGAGCUCUGGAGUUCUCCAUUUUGCACAAGGGCAGAUGUUGGCAACAAUUCCUCUUACUGUGGUUGAUGAUGAUCUUCCAGAAGAGGCAGAAGCUUAUCUACUUCAAAUUCUGCCUCAUACAAUACGAGGAGGUGCAGAAGUGAGCGAGCCAGCGGAGGUAUAACCCUUGUUAUGCUUUAUGCUUGUUAAUAUUUCUGUGCUGUACAAGAACCAAAGAAUUUGGUCAUACACAUCAACUUUAUGUUUAGUUUGAAGGGACAGGAAAAACACUGGCUUUGCAAAUGAUAGUUUUCUUACUCAGUAUUCCUUCUGAAAAUAAAUAUUUUACCCUCUAAAAAAUUCCACAAACUGUGAUUUAGGAAUAUUUCCAAAUCUGUUUUUGGUUCAUCUUUUGCUC